rnacentral:rRNA from 1 species
GCCAUUGCUAUCAGGGUUUGACUAAGCCAUGCGAGUCGAGAGGUGUAAGACCUCGGCAUACUGCUCAGUAACACGUAGUUAACCUGCCCUAAGGUGGAGAAUACUCCCGGGAAACUGGGGCUAAUGCUCCAUAGUGGAUAUGUCCUGGAAUGGUAUAUCCUCGAAAGAUCCGUCGCCUUAGGAUGGGACUGCGUCCGAUUAGGUUGUUGGCGGGGUAACGGCCCACCAAGCCAUUGAUCGGUACGGGUUGUGGGAGCAAGAUCCCGGAGAUGGAUUCUGAGACAUGAAUCCAGGCCCUACGGGGCGCAGCAGGCGCGCAAACUUUACAAUGCGAGCAAUCGUGAUAAGGAAACCCUGAGUGCCUGUCGAUGCAGGCUGUUCAUAUAUCUAAAUCAUAUGUGAAGAAAGGGCAGGGCAAGACCGGUGCCAGCCGCCGCGGUAAUACCGGCUGCUCGAGUGAUGGCCACUAUUACUGGGUUUAAAGCGUCCGUAGCUUGACUGUUAGGUCUCUUGGGAAAUCUUCACGCUCAACGUGAAGGCGUCUAAGAGAUACCGGCAGUCUUGGAACUGGGAGAGGUAAACCGUACUUCGGGGGUAGGAGUGAAAUCUUGUAAUCCUCGAGGGACGACCUAUGGCGAAGGCAGUUUACCAGAACAGCUUCGACAGUGAGGGACGAAAGCUGGGGGAGCAAACGGGAUUAGAUACCCCGGUAGUCCCAGCCGUAAACAAUGUGCGUUAGGUAUGUCGGUAACCACGUGUUACUGAUGGGCCGAAGAGAAAUCGUGAAACGCACCACCUGGGAAGUACGGUCGCAAGGCUGAAACUUAAAGGAAUUGGCGGGGGAGCACCACAACAGGUGGAGCCUGCGGUUUAAUUGGAUUCAACGCCGGACAUCUCACCGGAUAAGACAGCUGAAUGAUUGUCAAUCUGAAGGUUUUACAUGACUAGCUGAGAGGAGGUGCAUGGCCGUCGUCAGUUCGUACUGUGAAACAUCCUGUUAAGUCAGG